rnacentral:rRNA from 1 species
UGAGGAAUAUUGGUCAAUGGACGCAAGUCUGAACCAGCCAAGUAGCGUGCAGGAUGACGGCCCUAUGGGUUGUAAACUGCUUUUAUAUGGGGAUAAAGUGGGGAACGUGUUCCCUUUUGCAGGUACCAUAUGAAUAAGGACCGGCUAAUUCCGUGCCAGCAGCCGCGGUAGUACGGAAGGUUCGGGCGUUAUCCGGAUUUAUUGGGUUUAAAGGGAGCGUAGGCCGUUUGGUAAGCGUGUUGUGAAAUGUAGGAGCUCAACUUCUAGAUUGCAGCGCGAACUGUCAGACUUGAGUGCGCACAACGUAGGCGGAAUUCAUGGUGUAGCGGUGAAAUGCUUAGAUAUCAUGAAGAACUCCGAUUGCGAAGGCAGCUUACGGGAGCGCAACUGACGCUGAAGCUCGAAGGUGCGGGUAUCGAACAGG